UACAGAGGGGGCAAGCGUUGUUCGGAAUUACUGGGCGUAAAGGGCGCGUAGGCGGCCCUCUAAGUCAGACGUGAAAUCCCUCGGCUUAACCGGGGAACUGCAUCUGAUACUGGAUGGCUUGAGAUUGGGAGAGGGAUGCGGAAUUCCAGGUGUAGCGGUGAAAUGCGUAGAUAUCUGGAGGAACACCGGUGGCGAAGGCGGCAUCCUGGACCAACACUGACGCUGAGGAGCGAAAGCCAGGGGAGCAAACGGG
rnacentral:rRNA from 1 species